UUUUAUGGUGGUCAUGCGUAGGGCGCUUUCGAGCGCGCCGGCUCCCUGGACCGGUCUACCAACCUGCGUAUGGCUGCCACCUUU
rfam:Pseudomonas sp. TW4, complete genome.